GAGAAUUCUAAGCUCAGCAAAAUAAGAUUCAUCUCAGCCCUUAACUUUUAAUCCAUCUGAACCGUUGCUUUGCUACAGUUGAAGUGUGAGAAAAAAAAAAACCCUAUUUUCGGAUAUGGGCACAAUUAAACCCAUCGUGUGCAGCGGCGGCAUGGCAUCUUCAGCUUCACUGUACAACUCGCCGGCAGCCCUCCACAAUCGGUACCACACUCUCUUUCUAACGGAUCCCUCCACAUAUGAUACAACUCUCUCCUCUCUAAUGGAUCGUAAGGUCAAAUAUCUGUAAAUGGAGUAGAUAAACCUUUGGUGAUGUAAUCGAGCCCGAAACAGGCCGAGCCCGAGCUUGUAGAAACCUUACCGAUCCCGAUCCCGAUCCCGAAAUGGCUAGCCGAAGCUCGCCCGAGCCGAGCAUCUCUGGAAAUGAUGAUCCAAGCCCGAGCAAUCCAAAGCUCGCCUCGGUUCGGUUCGUUUGCAGCCGUAAGUAGAGUGAGUAGAGCAAAGAGAGAGACAGUGACAGAAGAGUGAUCUUUGUACUCAAGAACUGAGUGUGUUGUGUAAGGUAGGUCUUCCAAUUUUUUGGUAUCAAAGCGAAUGGGAAGUAAAUUGGAUGGGACGGAAGUCCCUAUCAUCGGCAGCGACUCCGUCAAGUGCCCUCGAAGUCUCUGUCCCUUCCACUCCUCUUUGGCGAUCACCCAUAGCUGCUGAUCCUACUCCUGCUUUGCAGCUGCCGUUCUUCGCCCCUCCCAACCCAGACGCCGCCUCCUGCUCCGUUAUCGGAAACCCUCCUACCUAUCUCAUUUGAGCAGUCAGCAUAAAAGAAUGCACAUGGCACAAAUUGGGAAUUCUGAACAUGGAGAAGUAAAUAUAGGCGAGAAUUUUGAACAUGAAGAGAAUAUUGGCGAGAAUUUUGAACAGGAAGAGCAGAAUAUAGGCAAGAAUUCUGAACAGGAAGAAGAGAAUGUAGGAAUCUGGAAUCAACUGAGAAAUCCGUGUAAAGUCUAAGUGUUCUUUGUUGUCGUGUGUUUUAUCUUCUGCUGUGUUCUGGCCCUCUUCCUUGGGUUUCUUAUUUUGUGGUUGUGAUUGAUUGGACUCGUCUUUGUGUUCUGCAUCUUGUCUAGUGGUACAACUGAAUUUACAUAAGGAAAAUAAGCAUCCUCCCGAUUCAAAUCCGUGCUUAUAAAUCUGAUCUCUCGACGCCUCAUAUGAUAGGCAUACAAUGAAUUGCCUAUGAGAAUAUUAAUUUCAUCAUUUUUUAUACCAGGCAAUACACGGCACGGUUCACCUCUUGCCCCAAUGCUCCAAUUUCUUCAAGAUUUAUGCGGCAUCCCAACUUCAGUCUCAUACAUUCCUCUAUUCUGAGUAGGCAAUCAUUUUCUACACGGCUAACAUGAAUGUAGCACGGUAGGUUCUCCAAUGCUGUGAGAGUUCCACGAUAGGUUCUCCAAUGUUCACGGAUUUAUUUCUCUGCCACUCACUGGGGAAGUUGGAACUCUCACAACAUUGGAGCUCCUACCGUGCUACAUUCAUGUUAGCCGUGUAGAAAAUGAUUGCCGACUCAGAAUCUUUGUUAGUGAAAGAAGAGAGGAAGGUAUGAGACUGAAGUUGGAAUGCUGCAUAAACCUUGAAGAAAUUGGGGAAAGAGGUGUACCGUGCAGUGUAUUGUUUGGGAUAAAAAUGAUGAAAUUAAUAUUCUCAUAGGCAAUUCAUUGUGUGCCUAUCAUACGAGGCGUCGAGAGAUCAGAAUUAUAAGCACGGAUUUGAAUCGUGAGGAUGCUUAUUUUCCUUAUGUAAAUUCAGUUGUAUCAUUCAACAAGAUGCAGAACACAAAGACGAGUCCAAUCAAUCACAACCACAAAAUAAGAAACCCAAGGAAGAGGGCCAGAAGAUAAAACACAACGAAAUUGCCAAGAAGUUCGAAAAAAACACAAAGAGGCCAAUAAUGAUGAACUUUGAGGAGGAUUCCUACAUAACUUUCAUCAGUUAGCUACUUGAGGAGGAUUCCUACACGCACGAUGAUUUUCAGGAGGGUGAUAACUUUCAUCAGUUAGCUCUUGUUGUCCAGGAUUAUUGCGCCAAGAAGCUGAACAAGUCCCAUCCCUUAUUUUUCUAUGGCAUUCUAAUUUUUGUUGUGGAUUUAUGGUUCCUAACAUUAGCUUAUUCCCUGACUGUGAUUUGUAAUUUUACUUUUUUGUUUGUUCUCUUUCAUAUGGCUUUUCAACUCUGAAACUGAGUCCCGCACAUUAAGUGCAGGACUUGUAUGAGGAACUUCUUAAUGAUACAAACCCAAAGGUCACGACA